CUGCGGAAGGAUCAUUACCGAGUUUUCGAGCUCCGGCUCGACUCUCCCACCCUUUGUGAACGUACCUCUGUUGCUUUGGCGGCUCCGGCCGCCAAAGGACCUUCAAACUCCAGUCAGUAAACGCAGACGUCUGAUAAACAAGUUAAUAAACUAAAACUUUCAACAACGGAUCUCUUGGUUCUGGCAUCGAUGAAGAACGCAGCGAAAUGCGAUAAGUAAUGUGAAUUGCAGAAUUCAGUGAAUCAUCGAAUCUUUGAACGCACAUUGCGCCCCUUGGUAUUCCGGGGGGCAUGCCUGUUCGAGCGUCAUUACAACCCUCAAGCUCUGCUUGGAAUUGGGCACCGUCCUCACUGCGGACGCGCCUCAAAGACCUCGGCGGUGGCUGUUCAGCCCUCAAGCGUAGUAGAAUACACCUCGCUUUGGAGCGGUUGGCGUCGCCCGCCGGACGAACCUUCUGAACUUUUCUCAAGGUUGACCUCGGAUCAGGUAGGGAUACCCGCUGAACUUAAGCAUAUCAAUAAGCCGGAGGAA
rnacentral:rRNA from 1 species